rnacentral:rRNA from 1 species
GUUGAACGCUGGCAGCAUGCUUAACACAUGCAAGUCGAUGGGGAAGUGGGGCUUGGAUCAUGGUAUCCAUGGCGGACGGGUGAGUAACGCGUAAGGAACUGACCUGCGGGACCGGGUUAACAGCAGGAAACUGCUGACAUGACCGGAUAAGGUUAUUAGGCUGCAUAGCUGAGUGUCGAAAGGGGACGUCUGCGGAGAGCCUUGCGUCCUAUUAGCUAGUGGGGGGGUUAACGGCCCACCAAGGCGAAGAUAGGUAGCGGGCCGGAGAGGGUGGACGGCCACGAGGGGACCGAGAGACGGCAGUUACUCAUACGGGAGGCAGCAGGGGAGAAUAUUGGACAAAGGGCGCGAGCGUGAUGAAGGAAUUCUGAGUGCAAGACGACGGUUUUCGGAUGGUAAGGCGGUAUCAUAAGAGAAGGAGGAAGUGACGGUACCUGCAGAAGAAGCGACGGCUAACUACGUG